AAAGGGUGCGUAGGCGGUCUUUCAAGUCAGGAGUGAAAGGCUACGGCUCAACCGUAGUAAGCUCUUGAAACUGGGAGACUUGAGUGCAGGAGAGGAGAGGGGAAUUCCUAGUGUAGCGGUGAAAUGCGUAGAUAUUAGGAGGAACACCAGUUGCGAAGGCGGCUCUCUGGACUGUAACUGACGCUGAGGCACGAAAGCGUGGGGAGCAAACAGGAUUAGAUACCCUGGUAGUCCACGCUGUAAACGAUGAGUACUAGGUGUCGGGGGUUACCCCCUUCG
rnacentral:rRNA from 1 species